AUGGCGUUACAGGUUCCAGGUUACACGCUUCAAAGACCCACUUUACGUGUCAGUGGACAGGACUCUACAUAUACAACAGGGCGACACAGUGUAGGAUAAAUUAACACUAUAAUGUUGUGACGGUGAAAAGGGGGACAUUCUCACAUGACUGCAAGGAUGGGCCGGAAGAACUUUAUUCCCUGCUAUAAGCCAUGACCAUAAUUAUUUCUUUUCUUUCCUUCUUCCAGAAGGAAUUCUAGAAGUUCUUCAAUCAAUCAAGUCAUCAGUNUCAAAUUUCUUCCCUAUCAACUUUCGAUGCGAAGGUCUUGUCUUCGCAUGGUUGCAACGGGUAACGGAGGGUUAGGGCUCGACCCCGGAGAAGGAGCCUGAGAAACGGCUACUACAUCCAAGGAAGGCAGCAGGCAAUCCCGACACGGGGAGGUAGUGACAAUAAAUACUGAUACAGGGCUCUUUUGGGUCUUGUAAUCGGAAUGAGUACAAUUUAAAUCCCUUAACGAGGAACAAUUGGAGGGCAAGUCUGGUGCCAGCAGCCGCGGUAAUUCCAGCUCCAAUAGCGUAUAUUAAAGUUGUUGUGGUUAAAAAGCUCGUAGUUGAACCUUGGGCCUGGCUGGCCGGUCCCCCUCACCGGGUGCACUGAUCCAGCCGGGCCUUUCCCUCUGUGGAACCCCAUGGCCUUCACUGGCCGUGGCGGGGAAACAGGACUUUUACUUUGAAAAAAUUAGAGUGCUCCAGGCAGGCCUAUGCUCGAAUACAUUAGCAUGGAAUAAUAGAAUAGGACGUGUGGUUCUAUUUUGUUGGUUUCUAGGACCGCCGUAAUGAUUAAUAGGGACAGUCGGGGGCAUCAGUAUUCAAUUGUCAGAGGUGAAAUUCUUGGAUCUAUUGAAGACUAACUACUGCGAAAGCAUUUGCCAAGGAUGUUUUCAUUGAUAAGGAACGAAAGUUAGGGGAUCGAAGACGAUCAGAUACCGUCGUAGUCUUAACUAUAAACUAUGCCGACUAGGGAUCGGACGAUGUUAUUUCUUGACGCGUUCGGCACCUUUCGAGAAAUCAAAGUGCUUGGGCUCCAGGGGGAGUAUGGUCGCAAGGCUGAAACUUAAAGAAAUUGACGGAAGGGCACCACCAGGGGUUAACGUCUAACUGUUAAGCCACAGAAGAAAUCUGCUCCUGAAAGCCGCCCGAAAGGGUGAGGUGGUGUCCGGAGCGUGCGAGCUCGAAUUUAAAGGCUAGUCCUCCAAUGCGGAGGGCGACAUCCUCAAAUUGCGGGGAACUCCUAAAGCUUUCACUCCAAAGCCGGUUCGCGAAAGCCGCCGGUGGCCAGGUUAACAGCCUCGGGUACUGGAAAAACGUGGAAGAUGCGACAAUGGACAAUCCGCAGCCAAGCCCCUAAAGGCUCCCCGUCGAGGGACGCCCACGGGGAAGGUUCAGAGACUUAACGGGGAUGGGUAUGCGCCGAGAGGCGCCUGCUUAAGAUAAAGUCCGGCCCUGCGCGAGAGCGCGGGGGUAGCAGGGAACCUGCGGCUUAAUUUGACUCAACACGGGGAAACUCACCAGGUCCAGACACAGUGAGGAUUGACAGAUUGAGAGCUCUUUCUUGAUUCUGUGGGUGGUGGUGCAUGGCCGUUCUUAGUUGGUGGAGUGAUUUGUCUGCUUAAUUGCGAUAACGAACGAGACCUUAACCUGCUAAAUAGCCCGUACUGCUUUGGCAGUUCGCCGGCUUCUUAGAGGGACUAUCGGCUCAAGCCGAUGGAAGUUUGAGGCAAUAACAGGUCUGUGAUGCCCUUAGAUGUCCUGGGCCGCACGCGCGUUACACUGACAGAGCCAGCGAGUAUUUCCUUGGCCGGAAGGCCCGGGUAAUCUUGUUAAACUCUGUCGUGCUGGGGAUAGAGCAUUGCAAUUAUUGCUCUUCAACGAGGAAUCCCUAGUAAGCGCAAGUCAUCAGCUUGCGUUGAUUACGUCCCUGCCCUUUGUACACACCGCCCGUCGCUACUACCGAUUGAAUGGCUCAGUGAGGCCUCCGGACUGGCCCAGAGAGGUGGGCAACUACCACUCAGGGCCGGAAAGUUGUCCAAACUCGGUCAUUUAGAGGAAGUAAAAGUCGUAACAAGGUCUCCGUUGGUGAACCAGCGGAGG
rnacentral:rRNA from 1 species